rnacentral:rRNA from 1 species
CACGUAGGCGGAUAGGUAAGUCAGAUGUGAAAUCCCGGGGCUCAACUUCGGAACUGCAUUUGAUACUGCCUGUCUUGAGUGUGGUAGAGGGGGGUGGAAUUCCCGGUGUAGAGGUGAAAUUCGUAGAUAUCGGGAGGAACACCAGAGGCGAAGGCGACCCCCUGGGCCACUACUGACGCUGAGGUGCGAAAGCGUGGGGAGCGAACA